CCUACGGGAGGCAGCAGUGAGGAAUAUUGGUCAAUGGACGAGAGUCUGAACGAGCCAAGUAGCGUGAAUGAUGACUGCCCUAUGGGUUGUAAACUUCUUUUAUAUGGGAAUAAACUGUUCCACGUGUGGGCUUUUGUAUGUACCAUAUCAAUAAAGAUCGGCUAACUCCGUGCCAGCAGCCGCGGUAAUACGGAGGAUCCGAGCGUUAUGCGGAUUUAAUGGGGUUAAAGGGAGCGUAGGUGGAUUGUUAAGUCAGUUGUGAAAGUUUGCGGCUCAACCGUAAAAUUGCAGUUGAAACUGGCAGGCUUGAGUACAGUAGAGGGGGGCAGAAUUCGUGGUGUAGCGGUGAAAUGCUUAGAUAUCACGAAGAACUCCGAUUGCGAAGGCAGUUCACUGGACUGCAACUGACACUGAGGCUCGAAAGUGUGGGUAUCAAACAGGAUUAGAUACCCUAGUAGUC
rnacentral:rRNA from 1 species